rnacentral:rRNA from 1 species
UACGUAGGGGGCAAGCGUUGUCCGGAUUUAUUGGGCGUAAAGAGCGUGUAGGCGGCCAUACAGGUCAGCUGUGAAAACUCGAGGCUCAACCUCGAGACGUCGGUUGAAACCGUAUGGCUAGAGUCCGGAAGAGGAGAGUGGAAUUCCCGGUGUAGCGGUGAAAUGCGCAGAUAUCGGGAAGAACACCCGUGGCGAAGGCGGCUCACUGGCCCGGUACUGACGCUGAGGUGCGAAAGCGUGGGGGAGCAAACAGGG